CGCCUCUUGCACCCAUAUAAGAGGUCCAGCCUGCCCAGUGACUAAAUUUAACGGCCGCGGUAUCCUAACCGUGCGAAGGUAGCGUAAUCACUUGUUCUUUAAAUGAGGACUAGUAUGAAUGGCACCACGAGGGUUAUGCUGUCUCCUUUUUCUAAUCAAUGAAACUGAUCUCCCCGUGAAGAAGCGGGGAUGUAAAUAUAAGACGAGAAGACCCUAUGGAGCUUUAAACCAUGUAACACUGGCUUCCACAUUAUAUCUUUCAGAAUUAUCAUAAUUACUAUAGCCACUAUGAUUACUAGUUUUAGGUUGGGGUGACCACGGAGCAAAAAUUAACCUCCAUGUUGAACGGAGCUUUUCCUGAGCCCUAAGCCACGACUUUAAGCACUAACAAAUUAACAUUAAUUGACCCAAUAUUUUGAUCAACGAACCAAGUUACCCUAGGGAUAACAGCGCA
rnacentral:rRNA from 1 species